GUGGGGGAUAUUGGUCAAUGGGCGCAAGCCUGAACCAGCGACGCCGCGUGGGUGAAGAAGGUCUUCGGAUCGUAAAGCCCUUUUCCCACUGAAGAGGAAGGACGGUAGGUGGGGAAGAAGUCUCGGCUAACUACGUGCCAGCAGCCGCGGUAAAACGUAGGAGACAAGCGUUAUCCGGAGUUACUGGGCGUAAAGGGCGUGCAGGUGGCGUCUUAAGUCUGUUGAGAAAGCGCCUGGCUUAACCGGGCGAGGCCAAUGGAGACUGAGAAGCUGGAGGACGGCGGAGGGGUGUGGAAUUCCGGGUGUAGUGGUGAAAUGCGUAGAGAUCCGGAGGAACACCAGAGGCGAAGGCGGCACUCUAAGCCGUACCUGACACUGAGACGCGACAGCACGGGGAGCAAACG
rnacentral:rRNA from 1 species